GGGAGCCAGUGGAGUUGCAUCGGAGAAGCGAGGCAGAGAGAACACCAGGCGGGCAGCGGAGUUCUGCAUUCUUCUCGUUUAUGCGGAUUUGUAGGCGUGCGGUUUCGGGACUUCGUAUCACAUGACUAAUGUGCUGACGUAGCUCAGCAGACACUCGCGCGCGAAAGGUAAAUAGGAAUUCGAGUUCUCUGCUAGGCAAGACGGCAGCGGAUCGCUAUUGAAUGGUGGACUGCUGUCUUCACUCAAAGUCAAUGUUGUGCCAGUUACGUGGAGUUUCAUCCCCGAAUAUAUUAAAGAAAACCGAUAACCACAAAAGAGGAUGGCUUCCCAAAAGAAUAAAGAUUCAUCCAGCUGUGGAUUGGAUGUUAAACAGGACAUUGCUCCAUACCACACAGCCAGGUCAAUCAAGGUGUGGAUGGAGGACCACCAGAUCAAGACCCUGUCAUGGCCAGCCCAAUCUCCAGACCUGAACCCCAUUGAAAACCUCUGGAAUGUGAUCAAGAGGAAGAUGGAUGGUCACAAGCCAUCAAACAAAGCCGAGCUGCUUGAAUUCUCUUCCUAAGUUAAAACAUUAGUAUUGUGUUUAAAAGUGAAUAUGAACUUAUUUUCUUUGCAUUAUUCGAGGUCUGACAACACUGCAUCUUUUUUGUUAUUUUGACCAGUUGUCAUUUUCUGCAAAUAAAUGCUCUAAAUGACAAUAUUUUUAUUUGAAAUUUGGGAGAAAUGUUGUCAGUAAUUUAUAGAAUAAAACAAAAAUGUUCAUUUUACCCAAACACAUACCUAUAAAUAGUAAAACCAGAGAAACUGAUAAUUUUGCAGUGGUCUCUUAAUUUUUUCCAGAGCUGUAUAUAUAUAUAUAUAUAUAAUUAUUAUUAAUAACCAGCCACUUUCAAAGGCAAAAACCAUCACAGAUCUCUCUGCCUCGCUUCGCCCACGCUACUCCACUACUCCGCUCGCUCCACUGGCUCCCGAUCACCGCUCGCAUCCAGUUCAAGACUCUUGUACUCGCCUACAGAUGCCUUGACCAGACUGCACCCAGCUACCUCCAGACCCUCAUCUCUCCCUACACCCCCACUCGACCUCUCCGCUCCGCCUGCACUAGAAGACUGGUUCUACCUCCGCUACGCUCCCCUGCCUCCAGAGCCCGCUCCUUCUCCACCCUUGCUCCGCAGUGGUGGAAUGACCUUCCUACAGAUGUCAGGACUGCCCAGUCCCAUUCCGGCGCCUCCUUAAGACUCACCUCUUCAAACAGCACCUGUAGAACUCCUCUGUUUGUAUCCUGGGACACUAUCACCCUUCAUUUUAAAUGUGCUUUAUUUUGCUCUUAUCUGCCCCCUAUUUUACUGCAUUUAAUCCUGUACUUCAGAAUACUGUAAUCUGCCAAGUGUUUAACCUGUAGUACUUUGUAUUUAAUCAUAUCCUGAUGUAACUAUCACUAUUUAAUCAUAUCCUGAUGUAACUAUCACUAUUAUCUGCUGUAUUAUUGAAUUGUGGUUUGUCACACUUGUACUUUGCUUGAACAAAAGUUAUUGUAUUUCUUGCUCUUAUUGUAUUACUUGUAUUGUAACACUUGAAAUGUA